GACGAACGCUGGCGGCGUGCUUAACACAUGCAAGUCGAACGGUGAAGCGCCUUCCUUUUUGGUGGGUGUGGAUGAGUGGCGAACGGGUGAGUAACACGUGAGUAACCUGCCCCCUUCUUCUGGAUAACCGCAUGAAAGUGUGGCUAAUACGGGAUAUUCUGGGUCUGUCGCAUGAUGGGUCUGGGAAAGAUAUUGUUUCGGUGGGGGAUGGGCUCGCGGCCUAUCAGCUUGUUGGUGGGGUGAUGGCCUACCAAGGCGGUGACGGGUAGCCGGCCUGAGAGGGUGGGGGGCCACACUGGGACGGGGACACGGCCCAAACUCCUAGGGGGGGGAGCAGGGGGGAAUAUGGAACAAGGGGCGCAAGCCUGAGGCAGCGGCGCCGGGGGAGGGAGGGGGGCCGUCGGGUGGGGAACCUCUUUCGCCAGGGAAGCAGGCCUGCCUUGUUUGUGGGGGGGUUGACGGUGGUGGGAUAAGAAGCGCCGGCUAACUACGU
rnacentral:rRNA from 1 species